rnacentral:rRNA from 1 species
AUUGAACGCUGGCGGCAGGCCUAACACAUGCAAGUCGAACGAGUGGCGGACGGGUGAGUAAUGUCUGGGAAACUGCCUGCUGGAGGGGGAUAACUACUGGAAACGGUAGCUAAUCCCGCAUACCAUCAGAUGUUCCCAGCUGGGCUUAGCUAGUUGGUGGGGUAACGGCUCACCAAGGCGACGAUCCCUAGCUGGUCUGAGAGGAUGACCGGCCACACGGGAACUGUGACACGGGCCAGACUCCGACGGGAGGCAGCAGUGGGGAAUAGUGCACAAUGGGCGCAAGCCUGAUGCAGCCAUGCCGCGUGGAUGAAGAAGGCAUUCGGGUUGUAAAGUACUUUAAGCGGGGAGGCGUUACCCGCAGAAGAAGCACCGGCUAACUCCGUGCCAGCCGCCGCGGUAAUUC